rnacentral:rRNA from 1 species
GACGAACGCUGGCGGCGUGCCUAACACAUGCAAGUCGAACGGAACUGUUUUGAAAGAUUUCUUCGGAAUGAAUUUGAUUUAGUUUAGUGGCGGACGGGUGAGUAACGCGUGAGUAACCUGCCUUCAAGAGGGGGAUAACAUUCUGAAAAGAAUGCUAAUACCGCAUGACAUAUCGGAACCACAUGGUUUUGAUAUCAAAGAUUUUAUCGCUUGAAGAUGGACUCGCGUCCGAUUAGUUAGUUGGUGAGGUAACGGCUCACCAAGACCGCGAUCGGUAGCCGGACUGAGAGGUUGAACGGCCACAUUGGGACUGAGACACGGCCCAGACUCCUACGGGAGGCAGCAGUGGGGGAUAUUGCGCAAUGGGGGCAACCCUGACGCAGCAACGCCGCGUGAAGGAUGAAGGUUUUCGGAUUGUAAACUUCUUUUAUUAAGGACGAAACUUGACGGUACUUAAUGAAUAAGCUCCGGCUAACUACGUGCCAGCAGCCGCGGUAAUACGUAGGGAGCAAGCGUUGUCCGGAUUUACU